GCAAGUCUGGUGCCAGCAGCCGCGGUAAUUCCAGCUCCAAUAGCGUAUAUUAAAGUUGUUGCAGUUAAAAAGCUCGUAGUUGAAUUUCGGGGUCAGUAGGUUGGUCGUGCCACUGGUAUGUACUGGCUUCACUGAUUCCUCCUUCCUGAUGAGCCGUAAUGCCAUUAAUUUGGUGUUGCGAGGAGUCUGGACUGUUACUUUGAAAAAAUUAGAGUGUUAAAGCAGGCUAACGCUUGAAUACAUUAGCAUGGAAUAAUGAAAUAGGACGUUCGAUCUUAUUUUGUUGGUUUCUAAGAUUGACGUAAUGAUUAAUAGGGAUAGUUGGGGGCAUUAGUAUUCAAUUGUCAGAGGUGAAAUUCUUGGAUUUAUUGAAGACUAACUACUGCGAAAGCAUUUGCCAAGGAUGUUUUCAUUAAUCAAGAACGAAAGUUAGGGGAUCGAAGACGAUCAGAUACCGUCGUAGUCUUAACCAUAAACUAUGCCGACUAGGGAUCGGAUGAUGUUAAUUUUUUAAUACUCAUUCGGCGCCUUACGGGAAAC
rnacentral:rRNA from 1 species